rnacentral:lncRNA from 1 species
GGUUCACGCCAUUCUCCUGCCUCAGCCUCCCGAGUAGCUGGGGUUACAGGCGUGAGCCACCACGCCCGGCCUAAUUUUUUUUAUUUUUAGUAGAGACGGCUUUCACCAUGUUAGCCAGGAGGGUCUGGAUCUCCUGACCUCGUGAUCCACCCACCUCGGCCUCCCACAGUGCUGGGAUGAUGGGCCUGAGCCACCGCGCCCGGCCGGAAAUGAGUCUUAAGCAACUGCUGGUAGUGAUGCCUCUGAAGUGGACUAACGGAAAACAGCGCGUGACAGAGGACAACGUCUUAAAAAACGCUGAAGAAUUUAUCAUCCGUUCCAAGUUAGAGUUCACUUGCUACAAAUGCUCAGAACUGAUGAUGUUUUUUUAAAAAAGCAACAUACUUUCUACGUACAGCAUUAUUGCUCCAAUGAAUUAAUGCCAACAAAUGUGCUCGGUAUUGCUUCCAGAUUCUUCAAGUAACUGUACUCCUUGGAAUGGUCAACCCAGUCCCAUCUGUCCUUGAUUACUUAAUUUGCAGUCACCGGGGAGUUCAAAAUGACUUUUCCACAGUGAAGAUGGAAGCACACCUGGGCAGCAGAACGAGUGAUGUGGGCUCAGCUCACAGACCUUCUCACACAGGGAUGUAACAGGCGGCAGAAAGAAGGAAUUCCCUCCCCGCGAGAAGGCUUGGGAAGGACAGUCUCCAUGUUCCGGGAGACUCUGGACUUUAAGGAAGAUUCCUUCCUGCUCUAGCUUAUCUUUUUUAGCUUUUUUUUAAAGUAUUUUUUUUGCUGAUUAACUCCACUCUGCCAAUAGUGUGUCCUCUCAAAGGACUCCAAGUUCCCACAGUGCAUAUGUAUCCAAUUUUAUUGCUUUGCACUUGAUAUACGGCUUUGUAACUGCUCAAGGCAUAUUUUUGUGAACAUUAUGUUUCUGUCUCCCAUACUCUACCCUAAGCUUCUUAACAAUAAAAAUCAUGCCCUGC